GAUGAACGCUGGCGGCGUGCCUAAUACAUGCAAGUCGAGCGAAUGGAUUAAGAGCUUGCUCUUAUGAAGUUAGCGGCGGACGGGUGAGUAACACGUGGGUAACCUGCCCAUAAGACUGGGAUAACUCCGGGAAACCGGGGCUAAUACCGGAUAACAUUUUGAACCGCAUGGUUCGAAAUUGAAAGGCGGCUUCGGCUGUCACUUAUGGAUGGACCCGCGUCGCAUUAGCUAGUUGGUGAGGUAACGGCUCACCAAGGCAACGAUGCGUAGCCGACCGGGGAGGGUGAUCGGCCACACUGGGACUGAGACACGGCCCAGACUCCUACGGGAGGCAGCAGUAGGGAAUCUUCCGCAAUGGACGAAAGUCUGACGGAGCAACGCCGCGUGAGUGAUGAAGGCUUUCGGGUCGUAAAACCCUGUUGUUAGGGAAGAACAAGUGCUAGUUGAAUAAGCUGGCACCUUGACGGUACCUAACCAGAAAGCCACGGCUAACUACGUGCCAGCAGCCGCGGUAA
rnacentral:rRNA from 1 species